UUCCCCUGGUGGAAGCUCGUGGUGGUGGUGCCGCUCCACUUAUUGUCGCAUUUAACCUCGUGGAUCGCCGUGGUCCCAUUCCUUGGAUAUUGGAAUUUUCACUCGUGGAAUUUUCUAAAUUUCUAGCCAUUGUAUUCUUCUUUUAUGUUUUAUCAAAGAAUUUUUGUAAAUAAAAAAUUCUAAUAAUAAGAACGUAUGAAAAAAUACAACUAGACUAGAAAAUAGAGAAAAACCUUUUUUAUGCGAGAGUCUUCUACGAGUGUGGAUUUCUUCUCUCAAUGAAAGCACCAAUUUGUGGAUGCAAAUUUCUUCCUCCUUGAUCUUGGACAAAAUUGCACCUACAAAACAAUUAACACCUUAGGUCAAGGCCAAGAGCCUCAUGCGCCCACGAUGAAUGGGGGGAGCUUUGGCCGAAGAACCUCCGAUGCCAAAGUUAGAAUUUAGAGAGAAAAAAUGUUUGAGAAUUCUAGAGAACUUUAGCAAGAGUUGGAAGUGUGUUUUGGAGAAAAUAUGAGCCUUUUUAUAGGAUAAUGGGAAUAAUUGACUAGUUAAUUUAGCAAAUAGAAUUAUUGCCAAAUUAACUAGCUAAUUAAUAUGAUAAAAUAGGUAAAUAUGAUGAGAUCAACAAGGGUGGCCGGCCCUUUGGGAUUUAUGGGUAUAUUAUGUGGUUAAUUGGGUGACUUAAUUGACAUUUAAUGGAUUAAUUAGGUAAUUAAUCCAUUAAUUAGCCAAUUAACAUAUUUUUGGAAUGAAUAUUUUGAAGGUUAUGUAAUGAUAGCUAAUUGAUUAGCUAAAAGAGGGGGAAAAAAGAGGUAAAAAAUAUAUGGAAUGAAAUAGGUUUUGAACUGUUAUCUAUUUUAGGCAUUUCUGACUUGGUUGUGGAUGAUUGUCUGUUACUCGCGAGUAGGAAUCCUGAUACACCUCAAGAGUAUUUUUGUCUUCUUUAUCCGAAAAUCCACGUGUCGCAUUGUGAUUAUUUUUUACUCCACAAUAUGCAUGUCAUCAACCCAAUUGUCUACAUAACUUACGUAUUACUUGCUUUCUUAAGAGAUGUAAAGAAAGAAAAUGAAACUCGUUAUUGGUAAAUUUUACCCUACUUUUACAUGUAACAUGUUUCCUCGUGAACCCUUUCUUUCGAGACCAAAAUCGAUCCUCAUCAAGUUGCAAUUUAAUUCUAAAUGCAAAAUUUUCAAAGGAUAACGUAAACUAAUAAGAUUAGAUGCUAAAACUGUUCUAGUCUAGAUGCCCAUGCAUGAUUAAUGUAAAUGGGACCCCUUUAAUUGCUUUGCAUGUCACAACAGCAGAGAAAUCAAGGAAGGGUUUUUGGGGUUAAACUAAAGCGACAAAUAGUUGAUCGAAAAAGAAACUGAAGUGACAAAAAAAUGUAUACUAACCUCAUGUUCUAGGAUAUCUAUUUGGGUUUGGAGUACGUUGGACUUAAUAUUAAGUUAGCGGAUGCCAUUAAAACCACUCGUUAGCCUUUAGAGUAAUUUACGUCUAACAAGUUGUUCUACUAUCUUUUUGUAUGUGACUAGAGAUACAGAGAAGGCUAGUACAGUGACGGGUUCACGAUGAGAUCAAUGUGACCAGUUGAUUCUUGAAAAAUGUUUUGGGAAUCUAGUGAACCCUUGAUCAUUCGGACGUUAACCACUUCAUGCACAUAAGAUAUUUGACAAAACGCAUUUGUAAGACUCAACACUGCUUGGCAUCACCUUUGUGUGCAUUGCUGUUAGCAUCUAUCGACAAACUUUCUUGUCGUUUGUCGACCUCUAUUUACAGACUCGUACGAAAGUUGUCUGCACAUGUCAAUAGCCGCGCAACAUGGCUCAACAUAUAACUAGCUCACCAACUAUUCGAAGAAAUGCCAUAAUAUCAAUUUAUAUGUUGUUUCCGCUACAAAAUUUUGCGUCCACAUACUAUUUUCUCACUGACUCCUCAAGAAUUUUAUUCUAAAUUUGCCACUAGACCAAGAAACACAAUAUUGAUACAUUUUUGCUCUUUUUACAUGUAACGAGUCUCCUAUUCUCUUUCUUAAGACCAGAAUCCUCAUGGACCUCAUCAAGUUACAAUCCCAUUCAUGAAAUAAGUUCUAAGGGCAAGAUUAACCAAGAUUGAAGUCUAAGAGCCUAAAAUUGCUCUGAAGUGCGGGUGCCCAUGCAUGAAUAAUGUAAAAUGGGACCCUUGCAAUUGCAAUUUGCAUUGCAUGUCACAACACAGCACAGAAAUCAAGGAAGGGUAUUUCGGGAGGUUUCAUAGGGAUUACCAUACACACACACUACCGGAAAGAAGGAAACACGCAGAGAUUGGCUGUCAUAUGGAAAAUCUCUCAGCUUUUGGGGUUAGCUAGAUUCCAUAGGGUGC
rnacentral:lncRNA from 1 species